rnacentral:rRNA from 1 species
UCCUCUGACGUUAGCGGCGGACGGGUGAGUAACACGUGGAUAACCUACCUAUAAGACUGGGAUAACUUCGGGAAACCGGAGCUAAUACCGGAUAAUAUAUUGAACCGCGUGGUUCAAUAGUGAAAGACGGUUUUGCUGUCACUUAUAGAUGGAUCCGCGCCGCAUUAGCUAGUUGGUAAGGUAACGGCUUACCAAGGCAACGAUGCGUAGCCGACCUGAGAGGGUGAUCGGCCACACUGGAACUGAGACACGGUCCAGACUCCUACGGGAGGCAGCAGUAGGGAAUCUUCCGCAAUGGGCGAAAGCCUGACGGAGCAACGCCGCGUGAGUGAUGAAGGUCUUCGGAUCGUAAAACUCUGUUAUUAGGGAAGAACAAAUGUGUAAGUAACUAUGCACGUCUUGACGGUACCUAAUCAGAAAGCCACGGCUAACUACGUGCCAGCAGCCGCGGUAAUACGUAGGUGGCAAGCGUUAUCCGGAAUUAUUGGGCGUAAAGCGCGCGUAGGCGGUUUUUUAAGUCUGAUGUGAAAGCCCACGGCUCAACCGUGGAGGGUCAUUGGAAACUGGAAAACUUGAGUGCAGAAGAGGAAAGUGGAAUCCCAUGUGUAGCGGUGAAAUGCGCAGAGAUAUGGAGGGACACCAGUGGCGAAGGCGACUUUCUGGUCUGUAACUGACGCUGAUGUGCGAAAGCGUGGGGAUCAAACAGGAUUAGAUACCCUGGUAGUCCACGCCGUAAACGAUGAGUGCUAAGUGUUAGGGGGUUUCCGCCCCUUAGUGCUGCAGCUCACGCAUUAAGCACUCCGCC